CGCAGGAAACUUCAUGGAAAGAUGUUGAGGAAUCAAAAGAAGGGUCCAAAAUGGAACAUAAGUCAAAAGAGGAAAAUCACCAGAAAUCCAAAAGACUUUGCAGCUCCACAGCAGGGCAUCCUUCUGAGGACUCGAGGAAACGUAUCAUCAGGUAGCUCUGCUACAAGAAAUUUAGAAACUUUCCAGUAACUUCCAGCAGGAUCCAGGAAGACUUGGCUGUAAAACAUUCCAUAGAAUAAGAAUGGGCACUUAGGAAGAGGGAAUAAACUGACAUCUGAAAAGGCUCCAGGAGAUCCCGAGCUUUUCCAGCCUGGGGGAUGAGAUGGUACAUGCAGAGUGCAGAGCCCAGCACCUGACACACAGGCGCUCAAAAUAUGCCAUUCUUAGCAUUUUUAAAAUAAACUUAUAUUUAUGUUGUAACA